CACUCCUGCGGGAGGCAGCAGUGGGGAAUAUUGGACAAUGGGCGCAAGCCUGAUCCAGCCAUGCCGCGUGAGUGAUGAAGGCCCUAGGGUUGUAAAGCUCUUUCACCGGUGAAGAUAAUGACGGUAACCGGAGAAGAAGCCCCGGCUAACUUCGUGCCAGCAGCUGCGGUAAUACGAAGGGGGCUAGCGUUGUUCGGAUUUACUGGGCGUAAAGCGCACGUAGGCGGACUAUUAAGUCAGGGGUGAAAUCCCGGGGCUCAACCCCGGAACUGCCUUUGAUACUGGUAGUCUUGAGUUCGAGAGAGGUGAGUGGAAUUCCGAGUGUAGAGGUGAAAUUCGUAGAUAUUCGGAGGAACACCAGUGGCGAAGGCGGCUCACUGGCUCGAUACUGACGCUGAGGUGCGAAAGCGUGGGGAGCAAACAGGAUUAGAUACCCGGGUAGUCCCAUGA
rnacentral:rRNA from 1 species